rnacentral:rRNA from 1 species
UAGUCCACGCCGUAAACGAUGUCUACUAGCCGUUGGGGAACUUGAUUCUUUAGUGGCGCAGCUAACGCACUAAGUAGACCGCCUGGGGAGUACGGCCGCAAGGUUAAGACUCAAAGGAAUUGACGGGGGCCCGCACAAGCGGUGGAGUAUGUGGUUUAAUUCGAAGCAACGCGCAGAACCUUACCUACCCUUAACAUUUCACGACGUAUACAGAGAUGUAUAUUUCUCUUCGGAGACGUGAGGAUAGGUGCUGCAUGGCUGUCGUCAGCUCGUGUCGUAAGAUGUCUGGUUAAGUCCAAUAACGAGCGCAACCCUUAUCCUUAGUUACCAGCAUUAAGUUGGGGACUCUAGGGAGACUGCCGGUGUUAAACCGGAGGAAGGCGGGGAUGACGUCAAGUCCUCAUGGCCCUUACGGGUAGGGCUACACACGUACUACAAUGGCAGAUACAAACCGUUUGCAAAGCCGCGAGGUUGAGCUAAUCGGUAAAACACUGUCCCAGUCCGGAUUGGAGUCUGCAACUCGACUCCA